GACGAAGGGGGGCAAGCGUUGUUCGGAAUUACUGGGCGUAAAGGGCGCGUAGGCGGCUCUUUUAGUCAGGCGUGAAAGCCCUGGGCUCAACCUGGGAGUGGCGCUUGAUACUGGAGGGCUAGAGAGUGGGAGAGGUUGGUGGAAUUCCCAGUGUAGAGGUGAAAUUCGUAGAUAUUGGGAAGAACACCGGUGGCGAAGGCGGCCAACUGGACCAUUUCUGACGCUGAGGCGCGAAAGCGUGGGGAGCAAACAGG
rnacentral:rRNA from 1 species